AGUUUAUACGCUUUAAAAAUUUACAACCGCGUAACAAAAUACUUUACGUUGUAAGAUUUAUCUCCCAAAACACUGUUUUUCUUGUGGCCAUUACUCCUUCGCAACCGUUAAAGAUUGCGACAAAUUUAUUUUAUCAAAUUGCUUGUUACUUCUUCAGGAUUAGGAUAUUCAUUUGGACCGAAGCUUUACGGAGACUCCAUAUGAGAGUUAUUCCCCCUUUUCCAUUUAAUUAAGUGAUAUCCAUUUCCAACUGGUAAACUAUAAGUGAUAGAGACCUAGGGUCUUCAGAUUUGAGGUCCUUGGUCCCAAAAAAUGAAAAUGAGGUCAAGGUCAAAGGUCAAGGUCAUAUUCUUAAUUUAGAUUUUGGCUUAUUUUCACUCAUUU
rnacentral:lncRNA from 1 species